rnacentral:rRNA from 1 species
GGAAUUUUCCGCAAUGGGCGAAAGCCUGACGGAGCAACGCCGCGUGAGGGAUGAAGGCCUCUGGGCUGUAAACCUCUUUUAUCAAGGAAGAAGAUCUGACGGUACUUGAUGAAUAAGCCACGGCUAAUUCCGUGCCAGCAGCCGCGGUAAUACGGGAGUGGCAAGCGUUAUCCGGAAUUAUUGGGCGUAAAGCGUCCGCAGGCGGCCCAUCAAGUCUGCUGUUAAAAAGUGGAGCUUAACUCCAUCAUGGCAGUGGAAACUGUUGGGCUUGAGUGUGGUAGGGGCAGAGGGAAUUCCCGGUGUAGCGGUGAAAUGCGUAGAUAUCGGGAAGAACGCCAGUGGCGAAGGCGCUCUGCUGGGCCAUAACUGACGCUCAUGGACGAAAGCCAGGGGAGCGAAAGGGAUUAGAUACCCCUGUAGUC